AAAAAAAUGCUGCUUGGAGACAAGUGUCCACGAUAGUAGGAUUGCCAGAAGAUUUUAGGAGGAAGUGGAGAGGACUCAGGGACAGGUGACAGAGAGAGAGAAGAAGAGGUCUGGGUCAGCAGCCUUGGCGCUUCUGCUACAUUCUUUCUUUUCUGGAUCCAUUUAUUGUGCCUAUGGCAACGAGUGGCAAUUUUACAGCCAGACCCUCUACUACGUCAUCCACAAGUGUUGUCGCCACCGGUGCAUCAAGACCCUCAACGUCACCUACAAGUGUGACCAUCACCUCCACCGGUGGAGUGAGACCCUCUACAACAUCAUCCACGAGUAUGACCACCACCGGUGCAGCGAGACCCUCUACAACGUCUACAUCAUCCACAAGUAUGACCACCACCGGUGCAGCGAGACCCUCUACAACGUCUACAUCAUCCACGAGUAUGACCACUACCGGUGCAGCGAGACCCUCUACAACGUCUACAUCAUCCACGAGUAUGACCACUACCGGUGCAGCGAGACCCUCUACAACAUCUACAUCAUCCACGAGUAUGACCACUACCGGUGCAGCGAGACCCUCUACAACAUCUACAUCAUCCACGAGUAUGACCACUACCGGUGCAGCGAGACCCUCUACAACGUCUACAUCAUCCACGAGUAUGACCACUACCGGUGCAGCCAUGGAAGAUGAUGAAAUGGAGGAAGCACCUCUGGAUCUAGGACCACCUGAGAUUAUUAUGAACCUCACGGAAGUGACCACUGAGGACCUCGUUGAACAGGAUGUGGCCGUGGAGACAAACGAGAGAAACAGAGAGAGAAACAAAGAGGAACAACGUCACACCAGGCGUCAUCGGAGGUACCAGCCCCCAGAUCCGCUCAACUCAUUUCAGCAAAGGCUCCUCCAAGUCGUCAAGAGGGAUGCAGCCCAACCUGAUGCUCACAGGAAGGAGGAUGAAGAGACCCUCUUUGCCAUGAGCCUGGUGCCAACACUGAAGAGACUGCCUCAGCAAAGAAAAACAGCAGUAUGGGGUUAAAAUGUAUCAGCUGCUUUUCGAAGCCAAGUUCAAUGAGAUGGAGUCCAUUUAGCCGACCAGCUCACAGGAAGGACAGGAAGAGGAGAGGAAGGACAGGAAGAGGAGAGGAAGGACAGGAAGAGGAGAGGAAGGACAGGAAAGACAGGAAGAGGAGAGGAAGGACAGGAAGAGGAGAGGAAGGACAGGAAGAGGAGUUGUCUGGGUGUUGUUUUGACCUCCCUCAUUGUACCUUUCUUUUCACACACGUCAGUUCCCUUUAAAUUCAGUCAAUUCAUAAAGUCAUUUGUUUAUAAAGUCUUAGGAUAGCAUUCAUUAUUAGUGUUACAUAGAUUUCUGAAUUGACAGAAUCCCUCACCCUGGUGACAUCAGGUAGGUGACCAUUUGGCGUGCCCAUCUCCAUCCGGAGCGGCUCCUGGAAUGACCUCCGCAGGUAGUUGUGGAGAACACGUGGCCUUCACGCAGGCAGCGACAUUUGAGGGGCUGAGACCAAGCACUCUCCGAUACAUUCUCCACCGGGCUGCCAGAAUCCCAAAGGCGCAUUCAACAACUAACCUUGCCCUGGACAGUCGUUUGUUAAAGAUCCUUACAGGCUUUGGCAAUGGCAGCUGGCGUCCAGCGUAGGGCCUCAUGAGGUUGGGUCUUAAAGGGAAGGCCUCGUCGCCGACGAAGACGUGGGGAACAGGUCCCAGGUCUUCAGCCCCAGGGAGUGAUGCAGGUGGUGAAAUCUCCAGGGUGCCAUCCUGAAGUGCCUGGCCGAAGGCAGAGUCCCGGAGGGUCCCGCCAUCACUUCCCUUGCCGUAAGCACCAACAUCGACAACACGGAAACAGUAGAUGGCAUCUACUACAGCCAAGAGUACAACUGAAUAUGUACCCUUGUAGUUGUAGAAUUGUGAACCUGAGCACGGUGGAGCCUGGAUUACUACAUGUUUCCCGUCAAUGGAACCAAGACAGUUGGGGAAAUUCCACCUCUCCAGGAACUCGGCAGCGUUGGCCCUCCAGUCUUCCUCCUUGGGGACAGGCAUGUAUUCACCAACCAGACAGUCCCAAAUGGCUUGUGCCACAGGGGGACAAUGCCUGCCACCGUGGACCGUCCAACUCGGAAGCUGAAUCCUAUGGUCCUGUAGGAGUCCCCUGUCGCCAAGAAUCUGAAAUAUAAUUCAAAAUAAUGAUCAAUAUUGUGUGUAACUUGAAUUCCACCCACAUAUUAUAUAUAGCUACCUCAUUACAGUUUAUUAUGCUCUUGUAACUGAUGUGAAAUGGCUAGCUAAUUAGCGGGUACGCGCUAAUAGCGUUUCAAUCGGUUACGUCACUUGC